GAUGAACGCUAGCUACAGGCUUAACACAUGCAAGUCGAGGGGAAACGGCAUUAAGUGCUUGCACUUUUUGGACGUCGACCGGCGCACGGGUGAGUAACGCGUAUCCAACCUUCCCAUGACUAAGGGAUAACCUGCCGAAAGGCAGACUAAUACCUUAUGGUCUUCACUGACGGCAUCAGAUGUGAAGUAAAGAUUUAUCGGUUAUGGAUGGGGAUGCGUCUGAUUAGCUUGUUGGCGGGGUAACGGCCCACCAAGGCAACGAUCAGUAGGGGUUCUGAGAGGAAGGUCCCCCACAUUGGAACUGAGACACGGUCCAAACUCCUACGGGAGGCAGCAGUGAGGAAUAUUGGUCAAUGGGCGAGAGCCUGAACCAGCCAAGUAGCGUGCAGGAUGACGGCCCUAUGGGUUGUAAACUGCUUUUGUAUGGGGAUAAAGUCAGUCACGUGUGAGUGUGUGCAGGUACCAUACGAAUAAGGACCGGCUAAUUCCGUGCCAGCAGCCGCGGUAAUACGGAAGGUCCGGGCGUUAUCCGGAUUUAUUGGGUUUAAAGGGAGCGUAGGCUGGAGAUUAAGUGUGUUGUGAAAUGUAGACGCUCAACGUCUGACUUGCAGCGCAUACUGGUUUCCUUGAGUACGCACAACGUUGGCGGAAUUCGUCGUGUAGCGGUGAAAUGCUUAGAUAUGACGAAGAACUCCGAUUGCGAGGCAGCUGACGGGAGCGCAACUGACGCUGAAGCUCGAAGGUGCGGGUAUCGAACAGG
rnacentral:rRNA from 1 species